rnacentral:piRNA from 1 species
UGUGCGGGCCAAUGUGCCUGAGGAGCUGAGU